rnacentral:tRNA from 2 species
GCGCCUGUAGCUCAGCUGGAUAGAGCAGCGGACUUCUAAUCCGCAGGCCGGGGGUCCGAAUCCCUCCAGGCGCAUCA